GAUGAACGCUGACAGAAUGCUUAACACAUCAGCAAUGGAUUGGUGGCGGACGGGUGAGUAACUCGUACAGAACUUGCCUCCCUGUUAGGGACAACAUUUUGAAACGAAUGCUAAUACCUAAUACUGCGAGAGAGGUUUGCGUCCAAUUGGCUAGUUGGAGAGGUAACGGCGCACCAAGGCGAUGAUGGGUACCCGGCCUGAGAGGGUGAUCGGCCACCAGGGGGCUGGGACACGGCCCGUACUCCUACGGGAGGCAGGAGGGGGGAAAAUUGGGCAAUGGACCGAAGUCUGAUCCAGCAAUUCGGUGUGCAGGAUGAAGUAUUCGGAAUGUAAAGUGCUUUAAGUAGGGAAGCGGUACCAACAGAAAAAGUGACGGCUAAAUACGUGCCAGCAGCCGCGGUAAUAC
rnacentral:rRNA from 1 species